rnacentral:lncRNA from 12 species
AAAAAGGUAAAAAAGGGGAAAUAAUGAGACAAGAGGGUUUUUCACACUAGGGGCGGUGGAUUUUUGGGGGGGUUCUGCCCUUUUUUGGCGAUUUUGGGGACUAUUUUGUCGCCCCCGCGGGGGCGGCGCCGGGCCCUUUAUAAGGCAGGGCCCCGCGGCCGCAGCGCCCGGCCGAGAGCCAGCCCCGAUCCCGCCCGAAUUUGGCCCAAAACCGCUCGAUCCUGAGCACAAAGCUCCUAAAGCUGCUCGAUUUUAUCCAAAAAAGCUCCUAAAAUGGCUUUAUUUUCUAUCCAGAGCUCCAAUAAUGGCUUUACUGCCUACGGAAAGCUCUUAAAGCUGCGAUAUUUUAUAGCAAGAGCUCCUAAGGCUGCUUUAUUUCGUAAAAGCGGCUCCUAAGUCUUUAUUUAAAAAUAAAGACAAAAGGUGUUUCCUUUAAGGAAAACUGAGCUCUUAAAGCUGCUUGAUUUCAAUAAAAAUCCUUAAAUUGCGGCGAUUCCACUAACGGGAAAAGCCGGGGCGAGCCGGGGCAUUUUUAAUUGAAAAAAACCAAUCAAAACCCUUAAAAAAAGCUCUUAAAGCUGGGUUUUAUUUAAACCAAAGCAUUUGAUGCUGGUUUUUAAGAAAUCGCUGCUUUCAAAGCCGAUUUCUGGGAGAAAUCGCAGCUCUCGCAGCUCUUUAAUUCUUAAAAAAUAUCAUAAUUUGAUAUAAAAGCCGGAGCGAGCUGGGGCGGUUUGAAUUUAAAAAGAGCUUUUUAAGCUGCUUUAAUUGAAAGAAAGAAAGAAAACGCGCUUGAUACGCUGUUUUCUGCUAAAAAAAAGCUCUUAAAUUUAAUUUUUAAAAAGCUCCUAAAGCUUAAAAAAUGUCGUUUUGUCCCCAAGUGGGGCCGGGCCGGGCAGCGCAGAUGGGGCGGCCGGUUUGGGGUGAAAUGCGGCAUUUUCAGGCUCAGGAUGGAUUGAGAGGAGCCAAUUUUGAGGCAAGAGCAGGAAAAAUGAAGAGUGAAGAUGGAGUCGGCAGGGAGAGGAAAAAUAGAAGAGUGAAAAAAAGGGAGAAAAUCAAAGAGGAUUUAGAGGAGAAAAUAGAAGCGAAAAAUAAUGGAAAAAAGAAGGAUAAAGGGAGAAAAAGGAAGAAAAAUCCCGAUUUGGGUCCCGGAGCUGGGAAAAUUGAGGAAUUUGAGGAAAAUGCCCCAAACGGAGCCGGAGGCAGCGGCCGGGUGAGGCCCCACCCCCCUCGGGGGUUUGGGA